AAGGAUCAUUAGUGAAUUAAACAUGCUUGGUGUCUUCGCUUCGGCAAGGCCCUUGCUUAAAUCACAUCCUAACACCUGUGAACUGUAAGACGUAUGAUGAGGUCUUUGGCCAAGUCAUCGUCUGCCCAUUUUUAACAAACAAUUAAUGUAACAAACGUAGUCUUAUUAUAACCUAAUAAAACUUUCAACAACGGAUCUCUUGGCUCUC
rnacentral:misc_RNA from 1 species